UACGUAGGGGGCAAGCGUUGUCCGGAAUUACUGGGUGUAAAGGGCGUGUAGGCGGGGGUGUAAGUCAGAUGUGAAAUUCCUAGGCUUAACCUGGGCGCUGCAUCUGAAACUAUACCUCUUGAGUGCUGGAGAGGAAAGCGGAAUUCCCAGUGUAGCGGUGAAAUGCGUAGAUAUUGGGAGGAACACCAGUGGCGAAGGCGGCUUUCUGGACAGUAACUGACGCUGAGGCGCGAAAGCGUGGGGAGCAAACAGG
rnacentral:rRNA from 1 species